GUAGGGUGCGAGCGUUGUCCGGAUUUAUUGGGCGUAAAGGGCUCGUAGGUGGUUGAUCGCGUCGGAAGUGUAAUCUUGGGGCUUAACCCUGAGCGUGCUUUCGAUACGGGUUGACUUGAGGAAGGUAGGGGAGAAUGGAAUUCCUGGUGGAGCGGUGGAAUGCGCAGAUAUCAGGAGGAACACCAGUGGCGAAGGCGGUUCUCUGGGCCUUUCCUGACGCUGAGGAGCGAAAGCGUGGGGAGCGAACAGGCUUAGAUACCCUGGUAGUCCACGCUGUAAACGGUGGGUACUAGGUGUGGGGUCCAUUCCACGGGUUCCGCGCCGUAGCUAACGCUUUAAGUACCCCGCCUGGGGAGUACGGCCGCAAGGGUA
rnacentral:rRNA from 1 species